rnacentral:rRNA from 1 species
CCUGAGAAACCCAAAAGAUCGAAUGAGGAGAUUCAUCGUCAGCUCAUUUUGUAUAUAUAUAUGUUAUGAUAUGGGUUACUACUUGUAGUAUUGCUUAUACAUACUUAUAUAUUUAAUUGCAAGAUGUUGUCGGCGUGCACUUCUUCUCUAGUAGGACGUCGCGACCCGUUGGGUGUUGGUCUACGGCCCAAGUGGUAGUCUUUAAUAUUUUAUUAUAUUAAAGUCCCUUGGUGUUUUCUGACUGGCUACUCGUCGGUACACGUACGGUAUUAAGUCGCAAUUAUAUGCGUCCAUUCCCGUCGCAAGCGAGGCCAAUUUCUGAUAGUACGGACCUAGUGCCGUCGUUGGUAUUGGCCAGCUGUUGGUUGUUACGGUGUUCUAGGACUGACUUAUAAUAAUUACCGGUCGGCGAUGCUACUGCUUUGGGUACUUUCAGG